CAUAUGUUUAAUUUAUUUAAAAAUAAGUCAAUAGGACCUAUUUGUCAAUUUGAAAUUUUUUAUAAAAAUCUUCAACAGUAGAGGAACCGUCAGCCGUGUCCAGGAGAGUGCUUUUACAACAACUUGUUGGUUGUCCACAGAUAGUUGGAACAAAUAAAUGAUUCAAUAAUACAAGGUUGUCGUCCUCGUCCGCAGCUUUCUCGUCCCCACAUAAAAAUGGGCUUCUUUGAUCAACAAUGUUGCUAACUGCUAAGUUUUCCGUUAUUAUAUUGUAUAAGCAAUAGUAAAAUGCAAAAUAUUCAUACUAAAAAUUCGUUGGAAACACAUAUUUGUUCGUGUUAUUAACUUUUUUCUCAAUCGUUCACAUUUUGUUUUCUGAUUACGUGAAAAUCGAAGUUCGAAAUUACACAAAAUCAUAGCUUAGAUGGCUUGGAUGUCGCCGCAAUCUCAUAGAAUUUGGUAAUCUGGCGCUCGUGGAUACAUGUGAAGAACUGGAGGGUGGUAAAUGGCAAAAAGGAGAUAUGGCAAGUAAAAGUAUAAAACACAAUGCUUGUUCUCAUUGGAUAAAGGUAUUAAGUAAAUAGUUAUUUGGUGAAAUUGAGAAAAAGCUAUGUAAACUUUAGCCUUGAUUGCAAGCGUUGUUCUUGAUCCUUUUCAGGCGCUUUGUCGUUAAAAACUCGUUAUUAUGUCGCUAAAACUAAAUGAGUUUGUGCGACAUUACUUGAUAUUUUGUCCAUUCCUUACUUCAAGUCGUCGCUCGCGGC